rnacentral:rRNA from 1 species
CCCUUAGAUGUCCGGGGCCGCACGCGCGCUACACUGAAGGAAUCAGCGUGGCUUUCUCCCUGACCCGAAAGGGUUGGGAAACCCGUUGAAUCUCCUUCGUGAUAGGGAUUGGGGCUUGAAAUUGUUCCCCAUGAACGAGGAAUUCCCAGUAAGCGCGAGUCAUAAGCUCGCGUUGAUUACGUCCCUGCCCUUUGUACACACCGCCCGUCGCUACUACCGAUUGAACGGUUUAGUGAGGGCCUCGGAUUGGUCUCGGCCCGCUCUUUACCGGGCGGCGCCGUUGGUCGAGAAGACGCUCGAACGUGAUCGUUUAGAGGAAGUAAAAGUCGUAACA